rnacentral:lncRNA from 1 species
CCUAAUGACGCACUGACGUCAAUGCAGGUCAAUAGCACACACUGCUGGAACUGGGCGUGCUACACCAAGCCAGAGCUGGAGCCUUUUCAAACAGCCCCAACUCUGCAAAUAUCCCAGCUUUGCGGGGAGGGGUGGGGGAAGCCAGGGUCUGGUAGGCACUGAGACCCCCCCAUCCCCCUCCAGCACCUUCAAAAUUGAUGCAUGUUUUCCUGAUGCCAAAAAAGAAAAAAAGGAAAAAGAAAAUCCAAACAGAUAUCAUCAGACGCACUGCAGUGCAAAAAAAAAAAAAAAAAAAAAAAAAAAAAAAAAAUUUAAAUCAUACCUGUCAAAGGAACCGUAUGUAAUCCGCGCACACAUUUACGCUCAGAAUGCAAUGCAUAUCAUUAGGGUCUGUCUAUAAAUAGACCCUGAGAAUGUGUGCAUCGGGAUUUAGUCCCCAAACGGGGUUUUCGAACGUGGGUGAUGAGUUCUUUGCUCUGAUCAGUUACUCAGGAGGUGCCUGAAUGUGUGGGGGUGGGAGCGUGGGAGGGGGGCUGCCUCCUCUCCCUCCUCCUUUCCUCUGGCUCGCCCCCUCCUUUCUUCUCUUUCUCUCCCCCCCUCCGCUUACCUCCCCUCUUUUCUCCCUCUCUCUCUCUCUCAUUUCCUCUCUUUCUCUUCUUCUCCGUCUCUCCUCCAGUCUCCCCCACCCUCUUUUCUUACUCUCCCCCUCCCUCUCUCCUCUCCUCCCCCUCCCUCUCUCCUCUCCUUCUCCCUCCAAGUCUGGCACUGAACGCGAACUGUUUUGCUUUGCUCCGGGAAGAGUGCAGACACAGAACGUGAAAUCCCGAGCUUUUUUGCGUGGUGCAUUUAAAACGCUUCCUUAUUUAUAUUACCCUCAUUCCCUCACCUCUCCCACCCCCUCACCAGUCCUUCCAAAUUUCCCUAGAAAUCUCUGUAAAGCGUGCGGAGGGGAAAAAAGUGAAGGAGCUCGCCAAGUCCAGAAGGCAAUUACUUCCAUGGCAAUGCUUGUCCAAUCUGUGGUCUCUGAAGCCCAGACUGAAAAAAGCAGAGUAACUAUCACAGUGACUAAGAAGAAUUUCCAUUACAGAGGAGCGCCAGAGACGGAGAGGAGACCAGAUGAGUUUUCAAAGCAGUCCUCAAACACCCAGGACACACCUCAUCCUUUGCCUCGUGCUUUCUGCAAUGUUGCUGCUCACAUUCAUCUUCCUGUGUUAACCCUCGCCAUCAUCACCCCUUCCUGAUCACCAUCCUUCCUCCAUUCACUGCCCGCCCAGUUCUUUCUCUGAGGUGCCCCUCUUAGGGGUGGUGGCUUUGCUCUCUUUGCAAGUUCCCCUCUGAUUGACAUCCAGACAGCUAACAUUAGUUUCUCUCUCUCCUCCCACUGCCGCGUGCCCGGCUCAGCCCAGCACUUAGCCCCCAGGUCAGGAAAACCACAGCAAAUUUUACCUCUUCCAAAAUGAAGUUGCAAGACUCUCUGCCAGAGCAGACACACUCAAUGACGGUACCCAAGGUAUCUGAGAGUGAUGGAGAGACCAGAAAUCCCUUAAUCCCAGUCAUAUACAGAAAAAGAGCCUAUUUAGGACAGUUUAGACUGAUUGAGAAGGGGGGGAGGCAGUAAGGAGGAGAGAAAGAGAAAGAUCCUCAGAAUUGGAUUGCCUCUGAAUACAGGAUGGAAUCAUCGGGAUCCAAUUAAAUUUGCAUUUCAUUCUACCUCAUUGCGAUGGCUUCACUCCAGACAUUUUCAUUUGAGAUUGAAGGCUUUUCUUCAUGGGUUCUGAGCCACAGGUUCCUGGAUGGUGAGGUAAGUGACAUUUGCCAGCGCCGUCUAGGAUGACUGGUGAUGACCUCAGAAACCAGUGCUUGGGAGACAGAUCCACCCCGUGAGGCUGUAAGAUAUGCUGUCUGUUGGUUCCUUUUGACCUGAAUUGCCCUUUCGGGAUCCCAGCCCUGCCACAGAUGUUAGUCCAGCCUCACCGUGCUCAUUUCGCCCGCUGCAAGACAAAACAGACCCCCCAGAAUCUAACAGAUCAGACUGUGUGGAAGUCAGAAUGCUCUUUCUCACAGUCACUACAAACAGUGUAGUUCUGGGAAAGCCCACCAUACCUAGAAAGUGUACUUUCUCUCCCUCCCCCCCUUUUAUUUUUACUUUUAGGAGUAAGCUGGAACUGAUGGAAGAUGCCAGGGUUUCACAUGUGAGCUGAAGAUCUCUUCUCAUGAAAAGAUUCAGAUCCAGUUCAUUAUUUGACUCAUAGUGUGGCCAGUAAGUACAAAAAAACUGGCUGAUCAGCAGAUAGGUUAGUCUAGUCUUCCUCUGUUCCACAGCCUAUAUCUAUUGGACUAGGAAUUAAAGAGAUGCAAGGCUUUUUUUUUUUUUUAACUGUUGCCCUAUUAGAUAUAGCCAUCCAAGUCUAGUAGACCAACAGCUAAUUGCAAGGUGUUUGAAUAGUGAAAGGCUAAAACGUUCAGCCAAUUCAGACCUACUGGGAACCACCCCUCUCCCAUGAAUUUGUGCCUACUGAUUUCAGGUGGGGUAGACAACUGUCCACCCCGAGAUUAAGGCCACCCUCAGGCAGGUAUCUUGAAGCACCCCUUCACAUUGUUCUUUUCUCCCCAUGGUGCAAAACUCUGACCCUUUUCUACUUAGCCUCUGCUACACUAAACCAUGCUGGCUUCCUGAGCCCCACCGCACCCUACUGCUUCAGCCGCAGCCUGCUGUCAUGUGCUUGCCCUGGCUUCCUUGUCUUUGCUUAGAUCCUCACCAUGAAACCCACUUGAGAUAUUCCUGGGUGACUCUCUAGAUCCCCAUUCUCCCACAUAUGCCUUUUAUCUGGCAAGGCAUGGGAAAGCCUAUUAUCAGAUUCUCCAAGCAGUUAGACUGGCCUAGGUUAGGGAGGAGAGCCUUUGAAAGAGCUUGCUCCUUGAUAACAGAGGUGUGCAGAGAGCAGAUGCGGUCUUGACUGUUCUGGUACCGAACACUGCAAGCACUUUCAGGUGGAUAGAGGGUUGAGACUUUAGAGCGCUGAUGGCCACAAAAGGCAAGGGGGGUGGGGUGGAAUUUGAGUCCCUUUCCUUCAGCAUGCAAGUGGUCCUUAAGAAUAUCACCCUCAACCCUCCUAAUAUGCUGGCUUCUAAGAAGUGUUUUCCAAGAGCGAGUGUACCUCUUGAUCAGGGUAAGUGAUGAAACAUGUAUUUAACAGAGGCAGGGGAUGGUGGAAGAGCUUGUAUGACGCAUGCUGGGGCUCACCUCCCCCACCGUGCUAAUGGCUUGGCCUCUGAAGUUUUCAGAGCAAAAUCAGGGAAUCGGGGAAAUGAUCAGGGGUGCCAGUUGUUUCUAAAGGUGUGAAGGAUGACUAGCCAAUGCAAAGGCAGAUUUCUGCUGUUCUCACCUUAAAACAGCUUUCUUGGGAGACAGGCCUGAGGGGUACCUUACUCCUCCCAAGUACCACUCACAGGAUUUCCUCAGUGGAGAAAGAGACAUGGGUGGGUGUAGCAGCCUGAAUGGACAGAAAGUUGACGGCAUCUCCACCUCAUACUGGCUGGCGUCAGACAAGUCCCCUGAGUUUUGGAUGAGAUUGAAUCAGCUAGGACGUUCCCUGAUAGAGAAAGGGGAUGUCUCUUCUCAUAGGCCGGUAGCCUUGCUGAGGGGGUGGGAUGCUGCAUUGGUUAGCGGGCUCCUUAGGAAGAAUACAUCAAUUUCAUUAUUCAGGUCACUGUGGAAAAAGUCUCAGACAUCACUAAUUUGUAAUGAUGGAGCCUAGACCUGGAAUAUAAAAGACCAGAUAUUGGAGUGGAAACAUGAUGGAGGGAUGCAAGCAUGAGUAUGGGAGCCACACAAACACGAACUUGAUCGGAUCCCUAGUUUUACAACUUCAAGCACAACUUUUACAGCUUUUGCACAAUCACUCAAACUGUCCACUCUCCGUUUCCUCAACUUUAAAAUGGGAAAAAGAUUAAUAUUUGGGGACUGAUUUCCAUGCUCAACAAUUAAAUGGGGGUAGGUAAUAUUAUUUUAAUGACCCCCCCAUAGAACCACUGUAUUAUAUAAGAUGAUUUAUGUAAAAGCACCCAGCACAGUGUCUGGGACAUAACAGGUACUCAGAAACUUUUUUUUUUUUUGUCUUUUUGUCUUUUUUAGGGCUGCACCGGUGGCAUAUGGAGGUUCCCAGGCUAGGGGUCGAAUCGGAGCUGUUGCUGCUGGCCUACACCAGAGCCACAGCAAUGCCAGAUCUGAGCUGCGUCUACAACCUACACUACAGCUCACAGCAAUGUCGGAUCCUUAACCCACUGAGCGAGGCCGGGGAUUGAACCCGCAACCUCACGGUUCCUAGUCAGAUUCGUUUCCGCUGUGCCAUGAAGGGAACUCCCAGAAACUGCUGAUUUAUUCUCCCCCAACCCUGUGCCUUACUUAAGCCGAAAUGGUUCUACUCCCUGAUGGAGGCAUCUUUAGGCAAAGAGGAAUCUCUUUCCUGGACUUCUUUCCUGAUAGACUCCCCUUGGUUGAUUUCCUGGGACCUGGAUUUUUUUUCUUCUUCCAAACCCAGUGCUUUACCUCCUGGCAUUUUCUUUAGUGCUUGGAGAGGAGACAAGAGACACAGGCUGGACCUUUCUGGCCUUCACUGAUCCUGAAAGAGAGGAGACUCAGUUCUUUUCAAGGGCUUCAUGACAGCAGCCUGCCCCCACAGGCCCUCUGGGGGAGCAUUAGGGGAAAAGAGUCCUCUUCAUGCUUGGGAUGCACAGGGAUGGGUUGGCAGUACAGAAGGCGGUUUUCACCUUGGACAGAGUCCACGUCAGGCUAUUAAUUCCUGGGCCCUUAGCUUGACUGCUCAGACAGGAAUUGGGCACCACUGUCCUUAGCGAAGAAUGGUGGGACGGCUUGGAAAGCCAAGGUCACCAGCUCCAGUCCAGGAAUGGACCAAAGGACCUUACUGAUGUGUAGAGAAAUUAGAGACGCUGUCUGUGGAGGAUGAACUUUCUGCAAAUGUUUCUGCUGAGCUUCCUAGGCACCUCCCACCCCCAGUGUAACCAGUCAGCUUGAUUAGAGUAGCAAGACCAGGACAGGGAAGAGGAGUGUCCUCUCCUGGCCGGGGCGGGGGGGAGGGCAUGGGGAGGAGCAGAAACAUGGAGUCCAUCAGGCCACCAAGGUUAGAUUAGUAUAAUUUUGUUUGCUGCCCUCAAAAGUUUGAAACGCAGAGUCUGAGCACAUUUCUUCUAUUUCCAACUAGGGCUACAUUCAGGGUUUGCUGACAGCUGUUGGGGGGCCAGCAAAGUGACCUUUAAUGAAGCUGCCUUGGUCUCAACAUCAGACACUACCCAACCACUGAAGAGAACCUGGAAAUAGAAUGCAGGUCACACAAUUCUAAAUUAUCCCUUUUCUGUACAGUUUAGUCUAAUUAGGAACUGUAUAGGGGAGUUCCCGUCGUGGCGCAGUGGUUGACAAAUCCCACCAGGAACCAAGAGGUUGCGGGUUCGGUCCCUGCCCUUGCUCAGUGGGUUAACGAUCCGGCGUUGCCGUGAGCUGUGGUGUAGGUUGCAGAC